rnacentral:rRNA from 1 species
GUAGGGAGGAAGGUAGUGUAGUUAACACCUGCAUUAUUUGUACGUUACCUACAGAAGAAGACACCGGCUAACUCCGUGCCAGCAGCCGCGGUAAUACGGAGGGUGCGAGCGUUAAUCGGAAUUACUGGGCGUAAAGACGCAUGCAGGCGGCCUGUUAAGUCAGAUGUGAAAGACCCGGGGCGUUAACCUCGGAAUUGCAUUUGUAAACUAGGCAGGCUAGAGUCUUGUAGAGGGGGGUAGGAAUUUCAGGUGUAGCGGUGAAAUGCGUAGAGAUCUGAAGGAAUACCAGUGGCGAAGGCGGCCCCCUCGGACAAAGACUGACGCUCAGAUGCGAAAGCGUGGGGAGCAAACAGGAUUAGAUACCCCUGGUAG